AAGUUGCAGGGUAUAGACCCGAAACCCGGUGAUCUAGCCAUGGGCAGGUUGAAGGUUGGGUAACACUAACUGGAGGACCGAACCGACUAAUGUUGAAAAAUUAGCGGAUGACCUGUGGCUGGGGGUGAAAGGCCAAUCAAACCGGGAGAUAGCUGGUUCUCCCCGAAAGCUAUUUAGGUAGCGCCUCGUGAAUUCAUCUCCGGGGGUAGAGCACUGUUUCGGCUAGGGGGCCAUCCCGGCUUACCAACCCGAUGCAAACUGCGAAUACCGGAGAAUGUUAUCACGGGAGACACACGGCGGGUGCUAACGUCCGUCGUGAAGAGGGAAACAACCCAGACCGCCAGCUAAGGUCCCAAAGUCAUGGUUAAGUGGGAAACGAUGUGGGAAGGCCCAGACAGCCAGGAUGUUGGCUUAGAAGCAGCCAUCAUUUAAAGAAAGCGUAAUAGCUCACUGGUCGAGUCGGCCUGCGCGGAAGAUGUAACGGGGCUAAACCAUGCACCGAAGCUGCGGCAGCGACGCUGAUGCGUUGUUGGGUAGGGGAGCGUUCUGUAAGCCUGCGAAGGUGGCCUGUGAGGGUUGCUGGAGGUAUCAGAAGUGCGAAUGCUGACAUAAGUAACGAUAAAGCGGGUGAAAAGCCCGCUCGCCGGAAGACCAAGGGUUCCUGUCCAACGUUAAUCGGGGCAGGGUGAGUCGACCCCUAAGGCGAGGCCGAAAGGCGUAGUCGAUGGGAAACGGGUUAAUAUUCCCGUACUUGGUGUUACUGCGAAGGGGGGACGGAGAAGGCUAUGUUGGCCGGGCGACGGUUGUCCCGGUUUAAGCGUGUAGGUGUGUGUUCCAGGUAAAUCCGGUUCACUUUAACACUGAGGCGUGAUGACGAGGCACUACGGUGCUGAAGCAACAAAUGCCCUGCUUCCAGGAAAAGCCUCUAAGCAUCAGGUAACAUCAAAUCGUACCCCAAACCGACACAGGUGGUCAGGUAGAGAAUACCAAGGCGCUUGAGAGAACUCGGGUGAAGGAACUAGGCAAAAUGGUGCCGUAACU
rnacentral:rRNA from 1 species